UAAGUCCUUUUUCUAUCA
rnacentral:tRNA from 1 species